rnacentral:rRNA from 1 species
AGUCGAACGGACCCGCAAGGGUUAGUGGCGGAAGGGUCAGUAAUACGAUCGAAUGCACCUCGAGGUGGGGGAUAGGCAUGGGGAACUGUGCGUAAUACCCCAUGUGCACUACGGUGUAAAGAUUUAUCGCCUUGAGAGCAGCGAUCGUCCUAUCAGGUAGUUGGCGGGGUAACGGCCCACCAAGCCUAAGACGGGUAGCGGGUGUGAGAGCACGGCCCGCGACAUCGGGACUGAGACACUGCCCGGACUCCUACGGGAGGCUGCAGUAACGAAUAUUCCGCAAUGCGCGAAAGCGUGACGGAGCAAUGCCGCGUGCAGGAUGAAGCGGUUUCGCCGUGUAAACUGCUGUCAGGGGUCGGAAACACUGAUCCGCCCCAGAGGAAGAGACGGCUAACCCUGUGCCAGCAGCCGCGGUAAGACAGGGGUCUCGAGCGUUAAUCGGAAUCACUGGGCUUAAAGGGUGCGUAGGCCGCCUCGUAAGUGCUUUGUGAAAGCCCCCGGCUCAACCGGGGAACUGCAGGGCAUACUGCGUGGCUUGAGGAAACUAGAGGCCGGUAGAACGAUAGGUGGAGCGGUGGAAUGCGUAGAUAUCUAUCGGAAUGCCGAAAGUGAAGACAGCCGGCUGGGGUUUUCCUGACGCUGAGGCACGAAAGCGUGGGGAGCAAACCGGAUUAGAUACCCGGGUAGUCCACGCCCUAAACGAUGCACACUAGACGGGAGCAGCUCUGACGUUGUUCUGGUCGUAGAGAAAUUGCUAAGUGUGCCGCCUGGGGAGUACGGUCGCAAGGCCAAAACUCAAAGGAAUUGACGGGGGCUCACACAA